rnacentral:rRNA from 1 species
AACCAGCUCUUCAAGUGGUCGGGAUAAUUAUUGGGCUUAAAGUGUCCGUAGCCGGUUUGGUAAGUUCCUGGUAAAAUCGGGUAGCUUAACUAUCUAUAUGCUAGGAAUACUACUAUACUAGAGGGCGGGAGAGGUCUGAGGUACUACAGGGGUAGGGGUGAAAUCUUAUAAUCCUUGUUGGACCACCAGUGGCGAAGGCGUCAGACUGGAACGCGCCUGACGGUGAGGGACGAAAGCCAGGGGAGCGAACCGGAUUAGAUACCCGGGUAGUCCUGGCCGUAAACGAUGCAUACUAGGUGAUGGCACGGCCAUGAGCCGUGUCAGUGCCGUAGGGAAACCGUUAAGUGUGCCGCCUGGGAAGUACGGUCGCAAGGCUAAAACUUAAAGGAAUUGGCGGGGGAGCACCACAAGGGGUGAAGCCUGCGGUUCAAUUGGACUCAACGCCGGAAAACUUACCAGGGGAGACAGCAGUAUGACGGUCAGGUUGACGACCUUACCUAACGAGCUGAGAGGAGGUGCAUGGCCGUCGCCAGUUCGUGCCGUGAGGUAUCCUGUUAAGUCAGGCAACGAACGAGAUCCGCACCUUUAUUUGCCACCAAGAAGUCACGACUUCGUUGGGAACACUGAAGGACGGCGCCUGUCGAUAAGACCGGAGGAAGGAGCGGGCAAAGGCAGGUAGUAUGCCCCGAAACCCCUGGGCUACACGCGGGCUGCAAUGGUAUGAACAAUGGGCUGUGACUCCGAAAGGAGAAACCAAUCCCGAAAUCAUAUCUCAGUUGGAAUUGUCGGCUGUAACCCGCCGACAUGAACGCGGGAAUCCCUAGUAAUCGUGUGUCAUCAACGACGGUGAAUACGUCUCUGCUCCUUGCACACACCGCCCGUCGUAUACCUAGUCGU